rnacentral:rRNA from 1 species
GAUGAACGCUAGCUACAGGCUUAACACAUGCAAGUCGAGGGGCAGCAUGAACUUAGCUUGCUAAGUUUGAUGGCGACCGGCGCACGGGUGAGUAACACGUAUCCAACCUUCCGUUUACUCAGGGAUAGCCUUUCGAAAGAAAGAUUAAUACCUGAUAGUAUGGUGAGAUUGCAUGAUAGCACCAUUAAAGAUUUAUUGGUAAACGAUGGGGAUGCGUUCCAUUAGGUAGUAGGCGGGGUAACGGCCCACCUAGCCGACGAUGGAUAGGGGUUCUGAGAGGAAGGUCCCCCCACAUUGGAACUGAGACACGGUCCAAACUCCUACGGGAGGCAGCAGUGAGGAAUAUUGGUCAAUGGACGAGAGUCUGAACCAGCCAAGUAGCGUGCAGGAUGACUGCCCUAUGGGUUGUAAACUUCUUUUAUAUGGGAAUAAAGUGGUCCACGUGUGGAUUUUUGUAUGUACCAUAUGAAUAAGGAUCGGCUAACUCCGUGCCAGCAG